ensembl:lncRNA
CCCUACAAGUUGACGGGGAGAGGGCCAGAUAUAUCUGCAAGUGUGAACCCUGGAACCGUGAAACUCAGAGCUGAUACAUGAUGAGAGCACACCUGUGCCCUCUCUCUGUUUGAUUUGGGUAAAAGAAAGUUCUGAGGUUUUAUUACUCUUAAGUGAGUAAGUGAAAGUCACUCAGUCGUUUCCAAUUCUUUGUGACCCUAUAGACUAUAUAGCCCGCCAGGCUCCUCUGUCCAUGGAAUUCUCCAGGCAAGAAUAUUGGAGUGGGUUGCCAUUUCCUUCUCCAGGGGACCUUCCUGACACAGGGAUUGAACCCAGGUCCCCUACACUGCAGGCAGACUCUUUAUCUUUUGAGCCAGCAGGGAAGUUGUUUUUGGUUUUUUUUAUUGCUCUUAGAACAGAAGCAAAUGGCUCCAGGGCAGGUUUCCCUGGUGGCUCAGUGGUAAAGAAUCUGCUUGCCAGAGAACAAGACGGCAGAGGAGUAGGUGGACGUGGAGUACAUCUCUCUCCAUGGAUACAUCAGGAAUACACCUUCAGACACAGAAGUGCAUGCAGAACACCAGCUGAGAGUGGACAGGAGUACCUGACCAGUGGAAAAGAAUAUAUAGGACCAUGCAAAACUCAAGAUCAAGCCCUGAGCCUUUGGAGUGGGAGCACUGACUCCAAGACCCUAGACUACCAGAGAACUAACGCUAGGGAGUAUCAAAUAGUGAGAACUCACACAAAGGAAACCACUGGAAUACAAGACCCUGGCAUCACGCAACCACCCUGUGCAGGACACCUGAUCUAAACAACAAACAAAACAAAAAUACAAACACAAUCAUCAGCAGACAGGAUUACCACCUCACUCAGCCUUAAAGAAAAACAAACAAAAACUCAGCACUAAUCUCACCCUAUACAAAGCUGACAAAACCACUGGACCAACCUCAGAAGGGCAGAAACCAAAAGGAAGACAGAAUUCAACCUUCUUCAAGGAAAGAAUUCAACUUUCCUUGAAGCCUGGGAGAAGGAGACUUUAAAUACAAUAAGUUAAAAAAAAAUAAUGAAAAGGCAGAGAAAUACUACACAAAUGAAGGAACAAAACUCAGAAGUCCAAAUAAAUGAAGAGGAAUAGGCAAGCUACCAGAAAAACAAUUCAGAAUAAUGAUAGUGAAGAUGAUCAAAAACCUUGAAAACAAAAUGGAGAAAAUGCAAGAAUCAAUUAAAAAAGACCUAGAAGAAUUAAAGAAUAAACAUACAAAGAUGAACAAUACAAUUACUGAAAUUAAAAAUACUCUAGAAGGAAUCAAUAGAAUAUCUGAAGCAGAAGAACAAAUCAAUGAGCUGGAAGAUAAAAUGGUAAAAAUAACUUCUGAAGAGCAGAACAAAAGAAAAAGAAUUAAAAGAACUGAGGAC